ensembl:ncRNA lncRNA:CR45613 long non-coding RNA:CR45613
GCCAGUUAUAACAGGUGCCCUGCUCCAGAUCCACUCGAACUUUGACCACCAGCGUUGGUGGUUGGUGGUAAACGCCCUCGAUCCCGAUCCCGAUCCCAAUCCGAAUCCCUAGUUGUUGAUUCCAAUCUCGUCCACUCAACGAAAUCAAUUAUGUACUACAAAAUUGUACAAAUCAUUUUCGUUCGACCUCCAAAGUGUUUCAGCUGCCAGGGGAUCGAAAAAAAAAAAGAAAGAGAGAAUGGCAAGGAUGCAGCUGUAAGGAUCGCACAUUUUGUGGCAUGAGGAUGAUGUUGAGAUUGAGGACGAGGGCAGGAGUCGAGGGCCCUUUGACACGCUCGCGGGAUUAGCACGGAAUGAGCGAAGGAGGGCCGGGGGCCUUGUUUCGCCGGAGAGCUGUGAAAAUUCCUGGCAUCUUUAAUGAGCGCCGGCUUAUCAAUGGCCUCCGCCGUCAUCCGCUCCACAUCCCAUACCCAUGCCGAUGCCCAUACCCAUAUCCAUUCGCAGUACCAUUCCCAUUCCCAGCCGCAGUCGCAGUCGCAGUCUGAUUGUUAACCUUUGAAUCGGGGCAUUAAAAAACGUUAACAAGCUGCGUAGCGCCGUCGGCGGCGUUAAUGUCGAAAUUGGCGCUGGCCCAGGAAUGGCCAAGAUCGGUGAACUGGAGGUGGAGGAGGAGGAGGAGGAGGAGGAGGAGAAUGAGUAUGCGGAUGGGAAGGAGAAGUGAUUCCAGGAGGGGAGCAGGAGAUCGGGGCAACUGGGAACUGGGGCCUGCGACUGGGACUGGGACGAACGUGUUUCUUAAUGAAACAAAGCUUGAAUUUUAAAUGAGCAUCAUAAAGAACAAUGAAAAUGCAAGGAACAGCAACAACAAAGCGAGACCGGCGAUCCGUUCGAUGGACAAACACUGGCGGAGAAGUGAGCGGAGAGGGAGCGGUGGCGGGGCGAUGGAGCGCGGACAGCGCGAAAUAAAAGCGCAGAAAUGUUAAAUAAACAAUAAAAAACAAUCCGCUGCCCCACCGCCCCCUCGCGGAGUCUGUCAAACUCGGCCAGCGGAUUAAGCGCGGCCUGCGCACAAGACGCACCAGAGAUGGAUAUGGCAGCGAUCCCAGGCGAUCCCCCAAGCCCCCUCCCCAGACCUCAGCCCCGAUCCGCCCGUGCUCCACUCCAACCACGUUUCCCCAAAUCCCCGAAACCCCUCAUCAAGCCAGUCCGGAGAUGGAGCAGGAUGGGGCGAAGUCAGGAGGAAGAGCGUUCCAGCUGACGCGCCGACUGCUGAAUGUCCUGCCACAAGGUCUCCGAAUUGUAUUGUUACCAUUCAAGUUUUUAAUAUAAAUACCUUCUAGUUAAAUAGUUUUACCACCUAUUCUGAAUUUUUAUAAAUAAAGUUGUGAAUAAGUUAAUU